GUUUCUGGGCGGGGAGGGGGAGUCUCUUCAGGCAGCCAAAGCCCGCCCGCUUCAAGGCAGGUGAACUCAGCACGGGUCACAAUGCGCUGCCGCCAGAGAAGGGGAAGGGAGGGCGACGGAAGCCAAGGCUGUUGCUGCUGCCGCCGCCGCCGCCGCCUCUCUGGAAAUAGGGGGGACCCCGCGGGGCUCCUUUUUCCCAGGCAAACCCAACAACUGCGCGGGCGAGCCGGAGGGACAAAGUGCAAUCGAUCUGCCCUAGUUCAUCCAAAUAAUGCCUCGCAGAAGAUCAAACUUAGGUCGUCGUACUCGCGGAGCAGAAGCAGUGCGACGAGUAAUAGCAAAUCAAACUGAGGAAGAACGGGCAUCAGCAAACGAGCAAAACAGACAAAGAAUGGCUCAAAUACGUGCCGAGGAAACAGCCGAGAGACGUGCAGCCAGACUUGAGGAUGCACGGUUGCGAGCACGGCGAUCGCGUUCUGCAGCUUCAGAUCUGUUUCGUUCUCAACAGAAUAAACACAACAGGCUGAGAGUGGCUGAAAGACGUCAACGAGAAACAGCAGAUCAGCGUCAAACACAACUCCGUGCUCAGCAAUCACGUGAUUACAAUCGCCUUGCAUUCCGGUACAACCCAGCUGAUGAUUAUAGUUUGAGCCGGCAUGUUCUCAUCGGCACUAUGACUGAAGUGUGUCCUUAUUGCAAGGCACGUACUCCAAUUGAAAAUCGGCGUGUCAAUUAUCAUGUUGCAAAAUAUCAACCAGCCAAAGCUUUGCAAUGGCAAGCGACUUGCAGUAAAAAAAUUAAUGAGCAACAUCGUAGAAGCAACAAUCUUGACAGGACCUUUCAAAGUGAAGAUGUCCUCAUUCCUCGCAUUCCUAUGAUUCCAACGGAUAUGCCAUUUCAAUUUAAGAGAUUGCAAUUCCCAAUUUGAUUGGCGUUUGCAAUCACCAUCAACAAAGCUCAGGGCCAAUCUUUAGAAUUGUGCGGUUUAGAUCUAGACACGGAUUGUUUCUCACAUGGACAAUUAUAUGUUGCAUGUUCUAGAAUCGGCAAACCAGACAAUCUCUAUAUCUGCACAGACAAUGGAACAACAAAAAAUAUUGUAUACCCACAAGCAUUGUCAAAUUAAACAUAUUAGAAACAUG